ACGUUUUAAGUAAAACUGAGAGAGAAGUCGGAGAUUCUGUGUGGAAAUCGAAGAGAAAUUGGAAGAUGAGAGGGGUAGGAGGGCCAUUGCUGUGCAUAGGCGAUCUGCUGAGCGAUCUGGGAGAAGAAGAAGCAGCCAAUGAUGUUGCAGUACCUGAUCACCGGGAAGCCUCGCCAAUUCCUAAUUACGAAGAUGUCUCUCAAUCCUCCUUGGACCUCGCUGAACUGUUUAAGGAAACAUAUGAUCGAUUGGACAAGGCACUUGCUGGUACAGACCACUCAUGGACAGCUCUAACUCUAAAGCUGUGCAGUGCUCUGGAAACUGCAAAUAAGUUGGUCCAGUCCACCAAUGCGAAUGUUAGUUUGCUGUCUGAGAAGGUUGGGAAGCUUGAGGGAAUUGUCAAGAGGGGAGAUUCAGCUGUAUCUGCUGCCAAGGCUGUCCAUCUCUCUCUAAACCAAAAAGAAGGCCCAUCCAGUGGCAGUCCCAAGUGUUAGAUGACCAGAUCUGGUUAAAAUCAUAUGGAGUGGCAGUUCUCUCCUCAUUACAUAACCUUCUUAGCGUUGAAGUAAACAGCAACUUUGAAGUGUUUCGAUGACUACCCUACACUUCCAAAACAAGAGAGAAAAGACAAUUCUAUCAACAACCCUGCAUUUGGAGUCUAAUCUCCAACUCUCCAAGAUUCGAUGGCCACCAAGUAGUGAAGACAAAAAGACAACCGUGGAUGAUUUAUUAGUUUGGCACUACAAAAAUACAAUUCCUCUUGGUAAUGUCUUAACUUGGUUUUCUACUAGUCUUUUCUCCUCUCUUAUUUACAAACUGCUAUCAUUUUCAAUAUUGGUAAACAACUUUUGUGCACAAGAUUCCCACAGUGAGCGGAGUUGGGGACAGGUAGAAUGUACGCAUACCUCAACCCCAUAUGAUAUGUGGAGAGAUUGUUUCCAGGAAUUGAACUUGUGACCUCUAGGUUGCUCCCUGCAACUCUACCACUAGCCCACAUGUUCGCUUGCAUCUUUUUCAAUAUUACAUGUGAAUAAUUUUGGUGUAGAACUAAUUAGGAAGUUUCAGUGUUGAAGCCAAAUUGCAAAGCUUAAGUUAAGUGAUUCUGGCCUAUGUCUGACUAGAAUUUCCUAAAUGACGUGAACAUACUUCCAA